AAUAAAACUCGGCUCUUGGCAUUACUGAUAGUUCUCAAAGUGCUUCAGAAAAGAAGUCAGUGUGACUACCCCUUUUUUUGCAAAUGGAAACCAAGGCACAGAUGAAUGGAGGUGACCUGCCCAGCCUCACCUAGCGAGGGAUUAAACCCGUUUCCUGUGGUUCUUCGCUCACCACGAUGCUGCAGAGAAGAACCAGUGCGCAAGGCCUGCGCACAGAGGACAAGGGUCACAGCGCAAGGACGACGUCCCCCAAAUUACAGCUGAUUCACUUCCUCCCUGGGCAGCUCCUGGACGUCUCUGGUCCAGGACAUGUCAGCAGCACGGACGGCUCCCGGACGGUUGCGUUCCCUCUACUAGUCCUUGAAGGCUGAGCAGACUGUGGAGCUCCUUCAGUCCCUCUUGCUCCCUUCGAGCUCAUACUCCCGACUCAUUUUAUUUCAAGGAAAGCCUGAAAUUCUUCCUCCACCUCUCGGGGCUCCGGAGGUCACCUCUGUCCAACCAGCUUGUUUGCUUUAUUUUUCUUUUUUUAAUUCUGUGUUAUUUUUCAAGCUUUUAAUAUUUUUAAACUAUAGUGAUCAGGCUGUAAAAGCUGGAAAAGAUGAGGUGGUGUUUUUUGAGGAUAUGUUUGUAGCUGCCUUCAAUUUUCUGAUCUACAGGUAAUUAAAGAAGUAGAUGAAA